CCCGUCAGACUUUCAGUCGUCUCGCUUUCGGGAUGGGAAGUAAAGGGGACGCAGCCGGAAGUGCUGGUGAGAGUUUGCGGCUGGCUGGCAAUCUGUGUCUUCACCGUUGGGCUGCUGCUGAGGCAUCCGUUGGCAUGGUCGCCAUUUCCUGCAGCUCCCCAUGGUAUCGCUGUUCUUCAAGCUCAGGCAUGAAGAAGACCGAGAUGAUCCUCUCCGUGAUAUAGGAGGAGGAAGCUUUCCUACGCUACCUCGGCAUGGAGCUUCUUUUCUUCAGUGAUGCAGAUUUCAUGGAAUUGAGCUAAAAACACACACACACACACAGGAAUGCAGCUCGGUGAGCACUGUGACUUUUAAAGACAAACACAUGUCCAAAACAUACCUGGUCUGGUGUUGAGGCACAGGUGGUGGACACCUAGAAGAAGAAGCAGCACAAAGUUACCGAUGGCGAGAAUAUGCGAAGAAAAAACAUUUUGCAAUGCAUCGCCCAUUCUCCACAGACUUCCUCAUAUCCCCCAGCAAUGAGUCGCAGGCUAAAAAUAAAAAAAGAUUCAAGACUUCCACUGUAAACCUUGACAGGCAACACCUUGUCAACUUGUCACCUUUGAACCCUUGAAAGAGAAUGAGCGGCCCUCUCGGAUGGAGGUCCAGCCAGUCGAUGACAGGUGUCGGCAACAAGUUAACAAGUUGCGUGCCUCUGCAAUUGAAUACUUCCUCGAUACAGAACAGUUUUGGAUCGUUUUAGGAUUUAAUUGUACUUUCCAAAAAUAUAUAGCAAUAACAUAGUUGGGAAGAAAUUGUUGCUCAUAAAUCCUUCAAAUAUAAAUGACUGGUGCUCCCGAUGAAGUUUUUCUUUCAAACACACAAAGGUAACGAAACUAGCCUAAAAGCCACAGUGGGAAACGGGAGGACAUGUAAACAUUGCCGUCGGGGCAAGACCUUCUGUCUUUAAUAAGGGUUGUUAAGAGGCUGAAGGGUGCUCGGCUUCAGGAAGGAACAGUAGGAGACGGACGCAACCUCCACAUGUAUGACCGACCAUGCAUCAAAAACACAUGCACGCAGAGACAUAUAAAAACAACAGAAUGAGACGCGGGAGUCAACAGGAACCAAUUUGCAACAGGAUGUCAGCGCUGGUCAACAGUGGUUGGGUCCUGCACAUGGUUGGUAGCGCUGCCGGCGCGUGCUGGAUGUGUGUGUGCGUUUGGCUGAGCCAUCUGGUUCAGCUUGUCUUGUUCAUCAGGGUGCUUUACGGUGGCGGCAAUGACAGCCCCGGCCGGGGGACUGACUCUGUGCCCAUCGGCCUUCAUUUGUCAACAUAUAUGAAUGACCAAAGUAAUCCCAGGGAAAAGGUCAUCCCCCCCCUUGAGCUGCUGAUGGAAAAGUGUGUCGGAGACACAGUCGCGCCAUCCAGGACGGGCGAAAGCUGACAUCAGACGAAGGGAGAAGUGACUAAGCCUUCUCAUUUGGAAGUGGAAUGGCAAAAGUAACCAGAGCUUAUUCCAUAUUACACCAUCUGUCAAUAUGUCGACUGAAACUCCAUAUGAAGACCUCAGGAAAGGAUGAAGAAAAAGAAGAAUGCCUUUCGAGACCAACAACCAGCGACAGCCACAUCGCCACUGAGCGAUAAUCGAGUGAGCGAAUGAUUAGACAGACAUGUCAACAGCUGAAAAUUCCUUCUGAGGAGAUCAAAAAGAUGUCAGACAGCUAUUUUGAUCAGGCUCCUGAAUAUAGAUCACAAGUCCCUCUGGCUGCUCUUUUACUGGCUAUCAUUAUCCCCAUAAAUAAUAAUAAAAACACCGGGAAGUCCAUCUGGAAUUAUUAAGCCUGCCAGAAUAGUGACAACAUUUAAUUAAACAAACCAAACAGAGUGUUUAUGGCUUGAUGAUGGAAACGAGGAAAUUAAAGAGACGUGUCCCUUUAGAUAAGGCGAAGAAAGCGUGUUGAAUUCAACUAAGCCAAGCCUUACAUGCUAAUAGUUUGCCCGGCUGCAACUAUAAAUAGUUGGGAGGCGAUAUGUCAACAUGUUAAUCUGGUUACACAGAUGUUCAUCAGCAAAAUCCAUUGGCGACCUAGUGAGGACCUCCUCUCUGCACGCUCCUCAAUGAUCGGCUUUGUUACCUGCCGAGCGAUGCUCGGCUAAUGGCACUUUAACUAUAACAGCAAUGUCCAAACUUGCAAACAUUAAGAGAAUAAUUCCAGUGUUGUUUACAAAUCCGGAUAUCUUCAUUUUCAUCACUACCGCUAUAUUCUUUCAUACAUUGCAGAAGCAUCUAUCCGUCAAUAUGCAACAUCAGCAUCCAUCACAUUGUUGUUGUUGAUACAAGGGGGCGGGGUUUUGUCUCUGCUCAGCACCCUUGGGUUAUUCACAUAGUUAUAAGCAACCCAUGACUCAAAUCCUAUUCAACCAUCUUCUAUCCUCAUCUAUUUCUCUGGAGUUCAUCUCAGUUGACGUCUGGUAAAAAGCAAAACAACACUUUGGAUAGAGCGCCAGUCAAAUGCAAAGCACAUACAUAAACAACCGUUCCCACAUUCACACUGGCGCAGAGUGGAAACGGAACUGCUUCCACGCAAGCCAUUAAUAUUAAAAAUUCAAAGAUGCAUUUUUUUUUUGUAGGUCACAGCGCACGUCUAUUUUUAAAUAUUUGCAGCAAAAGAAAUCUCCUGUUGAAAUACUAUGCAAUCAUCCUGCAUUAACACAACAUAUUGAAAGUUUGUCGCUCACGACAAGA